UAUUGCGCAUGGNCGGAAGUCUGACGCAGCCAUGCCGCGUGCAGGAUGACGGCCCUAUGGGUUGUAAACUGCUUUUGUACAGGAAGAAUACACUCGACGAGUCGGGGAUUGACUGUACUGUAUGAAUAAGCAUCGGCUAACUCCGUGCCAGCAGCCGCGGUAAUACGGAGGAUGCGAGCGUUAUCCGGAUUUAUUGGGUUUAAAGGGUGCGUAGGCGGGGCGAUAAGUCAGUGGUGAAAUCUUGCAGCUUAACUGUAAAAUUGCCAUUGAUACUGUUGUUCUUGAGUACGGUUGAGGUAGGCGGAAUGUGUAAUGUAGCGGUGAAAUGCUUAGAUAUUACACAGAACACCGAUUGCGUAGGCAGCUUACUAAGCCGCAACUGACGCUGAGGCACGAAAGCGUGGGGAUCGAACAGGAUUAGAUACCCUGGUAGUCCACGCCGUAAACGAUGAUCACUCGCUGUUGGCGAUACACAGUCAGCGGCUAAGCAAAAGCAUUAAGUGAUCCACCUGGGGAGUACGGCCGCAAGGCUGAAACUCAAAGAAAUUGACGGA
rnacentral:rRNA from 1 species